CAAUGUGGCUUAACAGAGGUCAGUGCAUGAUUUGAAGAAGAGGAAGAAGAAGAAGAAGAAGAAGAAGAAGAAGAAGAGGAAGAUGAAGAGAAAGAUCUGGUAGCAGGAACAUCGAUGAACUAUCCCCUAUUUAGCCAAUGGCUCUUAAUAAUUUGUUCUGUCAUUUGAUAGUAGUUAGGAUGAACUGUCAUUUGUUUAACUAGCUGGCACUACAUGUUCAGAUUUUGUGUGGUAAGCUCACCACUAGUUAGA
rnacentral:lncRNA from 1 species